rnacentral:rRNA from 1 species
CCUACGGGAGGCAGCAGUGAGGAAUAUUGGUCAAUGGACGAGAGUCUGAACCAGCCAAGUAGCGUGAAGGAUGACUGCCCUAUGGGUUGUAAACUUCUUUUAUAUGGGAAUAAAACAGGGUAUGCAUACCCUCUUGUAUGUACCAUAUGAAUAAGGAUCGGCUAACUCCGUGCCAGCAGCCGCGGUAAUACGGAGGAUCCGAGCGUUAUCCGGAUUUAUUGGGUUUAAAGGGAGCGUAGGUGGAUUGUUAAGUCAGUUGUGAAAGUUUGCGGCUCAACCGUAAAAUUGCAGUUGAAACUGGCGGUCUUGAGUACAGUAGAGGUGGGCGGAAUUCGUGGUGUAGCGGUGAAAUGCUUAGAUAUCACGAAGAACUCCGAUUGCGAAGGCAGCUUACUGGACUGCAACUGACACUGAUGCUCGAAAGUGUGGGUAUCAAACAGGAUUAGAUACCCGUGUAGUC